GAAUUCUUUGGAUAGUGACUCUUUCAUAAAGAACAUUGAUCAAUGCUGGCAAAAUCAUUGCAGGCAAAUGAUCAUGAUCAGGAACAUUUUUCUGUUCCUAGAUAGAACUUAUGUUUUUCGGAAUCCAGAGUUACAUUCUAUUUGGGACAUGGGGAUCCAAUUAUUUAAAUCACACAUAAUGUGUGAUCAGAACAUUCAGAGCAAGACUAU